AUUGAACGCUGGCGGCAGGCUUAACACAUGCAAGUCGAGCGGGGUGAUGGUGCUUGCACUAUCACUUAGCGGCGGACGGGUGAGUAAUGCUUAGGAAUCUGCCUAUUAGUGGGGGACAACAUCUUGAAAGGGAUGCUAAUACCGCAUACGUCCUACGGGAGAAAGCAGGGGAUCACUUGUGACCUUGCGCUAAUAGAUGAGCCUAAGUCGGAUUAGCUAGUUGGUGGGGUAAAGGCCUACCAAGGCGACGAUCUGUAGCGGGUCUGAGAGGAUGAUCCACCACACUGGGACUGAGACACGGCCCAGACUCCUACGGGAGGCAGCAGUGGGGAAUAUUGGACAAUGGGGGGAACCCUGAUCCAGCCAUGCCGCGUGUGUGAAGAAGGCCUUAUGGUUGUAAAGCACUUUAAGCGAGGAGGAGGCUCUUUUGGUUAAUACCCAAGAUGAGUGGACGUUACUCGCAGAAUAAGCACCGGCUAACUCUGUGCCAGCCGCCGCGGUAA
rnacentral:rRNA from 1 species